rnacentral:RNase_P_RNA from 1 species
CCAGACGGUCGGAUGGCCGCGUUUUCUUGAGUUUUCUCAAGAAGAUGAGGAAAGUCCGGGCUCCACGGAAACACGGUGCCGGGUAACCCCCGGCGGGGGCGACCCCAGGGAAAGUGCCACAGAAAACAAACCGCCCGUCCGGGCUUAUGUCAUUGACGGGCAAGGGUGAAAUGGUGCGGUAAGAGCGCACCGCGUUCCCGGCGACGGGGGCGGCAGGGUAAACCCCACCGGGAGCAAGACGAAAUAGGGACGGCAAGCGGGCCUUGGCCCGUGGGCGGGUUUUCGCGCCGCCGUCCGGGUCCGUCGCACGAGGCGUCCGGUAACGGGCGUCCCAGAUGAAUGGUCAUCCCCCGCUCAAAGAGCGGGGACAGAACCCGGCUUACAGGCC